AAAGCGACAAGGCCAUUGCAUUGCUUCUAAUGUAUGAGUUCUGUUUGAAAAUUGCUAUAAAAUAAGGCCUCCAAGUUACUGAGGAAGGAGCCUUGGGAGCUGGUGUGGGAUGUGAAGUGGAGGAUUUUGUGCAGUUUUCC
rnacentral:lncRNA from 12 species